CCUGGAUAGCCUGGGCAGGCGUUGAGGACGUGAUGUGUGCCUUAUUUAUCUCGGCAUCUUUUGGUCUGCUGGGCGCAUAACAGAUAUGCCCCAUCAUCAAGGGAAGCUCGGUUAUGGGAACAGGUGACACAGAAAGUGCCCUGGGCUGGGGACCCAGCUCUGUCCCUAGCCAGCAGCACAGCCACGAUCCUUUCCCUCUGUCUGAGUAUAAACCCCCUGGAAAUUUCCUGUGUGUCCUGCAACAGUUUCAGAGAACAGGACAAGAGGAGACCCAGUGCUGCUGUAACUUCAGACUGACUAGGUGAGAGUUGUCACCACACGAUAAAAGAUGGCAUCCAUGAAGCCACGAGGUCACCAAACAGUGGCUCUGGAUACAGUUGGUUUCGGCUUGCUUGGAGUCAUGUGCUUAACUGCUAACACCUGGAGAGUCCAAGAGCCAAACACUCACGUGUAUUUGGCGCUUUGAAAAUCUCAACGUCUGCUUCUGGUCUCUAACAAACUGCAAAGAGCAUAUUUCUAAAGUUUUAUUGGAAGGCAGAAAGUGUAUAUAUCAGAGGCCACCUUUUUGUCAAGAUCUAGGGUUGACAAAGAACUGGAACACAGGUUCAAGGAAGUAAAAGGCUAGAUGAAGCCUCAUCUCAAAGGCUCUAUCCAUCUAUCUACCAAUCCAUCUAUCUCAACAGUCUAACAAGCUAUGUCAAUAGCCUUCCAAUAUCUAGAAGACUUUUGUGGGUAGCUGGAGAGGCAAAUUUCUUAAUCUCUACUUUAAUUAUGAGCAACAGAGGUGAGAUCAAACCAAGGACAAACAGCAAAUCAGAGGAUGUAGUCCAGGAAUUCCCGAAUUCCUGGUUCCCAUUCUUGAAUGUAGACCCCUUUGCUACACAUCACCACAGAAUAUUUCCAUAAUUGAGAGUAAGAUUUGCAGUUUGGUUCCUAGGAAAUGCCUCUCAUAAUAAUGUCAGGAACUAUUGUUGCAACCUUAUGUUUCCUUUAGGGUAACAAGAUGACAAAAUGAAAAUGGGCUCUACAAGUCUUGCUAGCAGUGUGUUGGAAACUGGCAGAUGGCACAGUGGAUUCUGAGUUUCUCCUCAUGAACAAUCCAAUUUUCUUUUGGGGAGUUGACUACCCACUGACUCCAAUAGCCACUUCCCAAGGCACAGCCUUACAUAGGGGUAGUGUGCUUAGAAGAUUCCCUUUUUCUCAUACGGGAUAGGAGACAGCCCAAAAGGCUAGGUCACACUCCUCAUGACAGACUACAGGUUAGGCUUGAGAAGGGCAGGGAUGGUUGUGAUGGUUCUAUGAGUUCUGCGAAUGAUGGUGAAGAGGGAUUAAGAGCUUCCACUGGCGGGAAGAGCUUGGUGGGACACGAGGAAGAAUUUAACCGAUGGAGGCUUUAAAAGACCUGAGCUGAGCUGCUGAGUGGGACUGGAGUCCCCACAUAUGUCCCAUAACUGGGCUCCACAAAUACAGUUCCAAAAUUUGUUCCCAUCAUGGAAAUGCACACCUCCAACUACUCAAUUCAAUUCUCAAUAAACAUUCAAUAAAUAUUUACUUAGAUCUACUAUGCCAGGCACUGUGCUGGGUUCCGGGAAUAUAUAACAGAAUACAACACG